rfam:Macaca mulatta chromosome 9, whole genome shotgun sequence.
AUUAAGAUGGCAGAGCCCAGCAAUUGCAUAAAACCUAAGACUUAAUAAUCAGAAGUUCAACUCCUCUUCUUAACA